ACUCCUACGGGAGGCAGCAGUGGGGAAUAUUGGACAAUGGGCGCAAGCCUGAUCCAGCCAUACCGCGUGGGUGAAGAAGGCCUUCGGGUUGUAAAGCCCUUUUGUUGGGAAAGAAAUCCAGCUGGCUAAUACCCGGUUGGGAUGACGGUACCCAAAGAAUAAGCACCGGCUAACUUCGUGCCAGCAGCCGCGGUAAUACGAAGGGUGCAAGCGUUACUCGGAAUUACUGGGCGUAAAGCGUGCGUAGGUGGUCGUUUAAGUCCGUUGUGAAAGCCCUGGGCUCAACCUGGGAACUGCAGUGGAUACUGGGCGACUAGAGUGUGGUAGAGGGUAGCGGAAUUCCUGGUGUAGCAGUGAAAUGCGUAGAGAUCAGGAGGAACAUCCAUGGCGAAGGCAGCUACCUGGACCAACACUGACACUGAGGCACGAAAGCGUGGGGAGCAAACAGGAUUAGAUACCCUUGUAGUCCUGAGU
rnacentral:rRNA from 1 species